AUACCUACAUGUACAAAACGAGGAACGAAGCAAAGAACGAAAGAAAGACGAAAAAAGGAAGAAAUUUUGACCCCAAUUGAACGUGACUGGUGUAUGUAUGUG
rnacentral:ribozyme from 12 species